GAUAGCCCCGUACAUGAAAGGUAUAUUUAGAUGAUAAAUGAGUAGGGCGGGACACGUGAAAUCCUGUCUGAAUAUGGGGGGACCAUCCUCCAAGGCUAAAUACUCCUGAAAGACCGAUAGUGAACAAGUACUGUGAAGGAAAGGUGAAAAGCACUUCGAAUAGAAGGGUGAAAUAGAACCUGAAACCGUACGCCUACAAGCGGUCGGAGCCCACAAGUUGGGUGACGGCGUGCCUUUUGCAUAAUGAGCCUACGAGUUAAUUUUACUAGCGAGGUUAAGUACUUCAGGUACGGAGCCGGAGCGAAAGCGAGUCUGAAUAGGGCGCUUAGUUAGUAGGAUUAGACGCGAAACCUUGUGAUCUACCCAUGGGCAGGUUGAAGCUUUGGUAACACAAAGUGGAGGACCGAACCGGUUGACGUUGAAAAGUCUUCGGAUGACCUGUGGGUAGGGGUGAAAGGCCAAUCAAACUGGGAGAUAGCUCGUACUCCCCGAAAUGCAUUUAGGUGCAGCGUCGUGUAUAAGUUUAUUAGAGGUAGAGCUACUGAUUGGAUGCGGGGGAGUCAAAUCCUACCAAUUCCUGACAAACUCCGAAUGCUAAUAAAUGUUCCACGGCAGUGAGGGCGCGGGUGCUAAGGUCCGUGUCCGAGAGGGAAAGAACCCAGACCAACAGCUAAGGUCCCCAAAUCUCUAUUAAGUUGAAGCAACGCGGUUGGACUGCAUUGACAGCUAGGAUGUUGGCUUGGAAGCAGCCAUUCAUUUAAAGAGUGCGUAACAGCUCACUAGUCGAGCGGUCCGGCAUGGAUAAUAAUCGGGCAUAAAUAGAGUACCGAAGCUAUGGAUUUAUAAUUUUUGAAUUAUAUCUGGUAGGGGAGCAUUCUGUUUGCACAGAAGCAGGGUCGUGAGGCCUUGUGGAGCGGACAGAAAAGAAAAUGUAGGCAUAAGUAACGAUAAAGCGGGCGAGAAACCCGCUCACCGAAAGACUAAGGUUUCCUCAGCCAUGCUAAUCAGCUGAGGGUUAGUCGGGACCUAACGCGAACCCGAAAGGGGUAGUGGAUGGACAUUGGGUUAAUAUUCCCAUACUUGCUCACACUAAAAAGGGGACGGAGUGCCGUACUUACUGGAGACUGACGGAAUAGUCAAGACCUAGCCUUCGGGCGAAGUUGUUGUAGGGAAAGUGCUUCCAAGAAAAGCCGAAGUGAAGCAACCCGUACCAAAACCGACACAGGUAGUCGAGGAGAGAAUCCUAAGGUGCUAGAGUGAAUCAUGGUUAAGGAACUAGGCAAAAUAGUCUCGUAACUUCGGGAGAAGAGACGCCAGCAGCAAUGCUGGCCGCAGUAAAAAGGCCCAGGCGACUGUUUAUCAAAAACACAGGACUCUGCAAAAUCGAAAGAUGCAGUAUAGGGUCUGACACCUGCCCGGUGCUGGAAGGUUAAGGAAGGGCGUUAGCAGCAAUGCGAAGCGUUUAACUGAAGCCCCAGUAAACGGCGGCCGUAACUAUAACGGUCCUAAGGUAGCGAAAUUCCUUGUCGGGUAAGUUCCGACCUGCACGAAUGGUGUAACGAUCUGGGCACUGUCUCAACCAUGAGCUCUGUGAAAUUGUAGUCUCGGUGAAGAUGCCGAGUACCCGCAAUGGGACGAAAAGACCCUGUGAACCUUUACUAUAACUUCGUAUUGACUUUGAGUAAGUAAUGUGUAGGAUAGGUGGGAGACUUUGAAGCAGGCACGCUAGUGUUUGUGGAGUCAACGUUGAAAUACCACCCUUUACUUACUUGGAGCCUAACUUCUUUUAGAAGGACAUUGCGUGGUGGGUAGUUUGACUGGGGUGGUCGCCUCCAAAAGAGUAACGGAGGCUUUCAAAGGUACCCUCAGCACGCUUGGUAACCGUGCGUAGAGUGUAAUGGCAUAAGGGUGCUUGACUGUGAGACCUACAAGUCGAUCAGGUGCGAAAGCAGGACAUAGUGAUCCGGUGGUUCCGUAUGGAAGGGCCAUCGCUCAUAGGAUAAAAGGUACUCCGGGGAUAACAGGCUAGUCUCCCCCAAGAGCUCAUAUCGACGGGGAGGUUCGGCACCUCGAUGUCGGCUCGUCACAUCCUGGGGCUGGAGAAGGUCCCAAGGG
rnacentral:rRNA from 1 species